UACGCGUGUGUGAAGAAGGCCUUAGGGUUGUAAAGCACUUUCAAUUGGAAGGAAAAACUCAUGGCCAAUACCCGUGAGCUUGACAUUACCUUUAGAAGAAGCACCGGCUAACUCCGUGCCAGCAGCCGCGGUAAUACGGAGGGUGCAAGCGUUAAUCGGAAUUACUGGGCGUAAAGCGUGCGUAGGCGGCUCGCUAAGUCAGAUGUGAAAGCCCCGGGCUCAACCUGGGAACGGCAUUUGAAACUGGCAAGCUAGAGUUUAGGAGAGGAGAGUGGAAUUUCAGGUGUAGCGGUGAAAUGCGUAGAGAUCUGAAGGAACACCAGUGGCGAAGGCGACUCUCUGGCCUAAAACUGACGCUGAGGUACGAAAGCGUGGGUAGCAAACAGGAUUAGAUACCCUGGUAGUCCACGCCGUAAACGAUGUCAACUAGCCGUUGGCUCUCUUAGAGAGUUAGUGGCGCAGCUAACGCAUUAAGUUGACCGCCUGGGGAGUACGGACGCAAGGUUUAAACUCCAAUGAAUCGACGGGGGGCC
rnacentral:rRNA from 1 species